AACUUUUUACAAUGGAUCUCUUGUCUCGUGCAUCGAUGACUAUGCAGCUAAGCACUACAGAGAUC